GCUUACGGCCACACCGCCUGAGUACGACCUGAUCUCGGGUCCGAUCUCGGAAGCUAAGCAGGGUCGGGCCUGGUUAGUACUUGGAUGGGAGACCGCCUGGGAAUACCAGGUGCUGUAAGCU
rnacentral:rRNA from 1 species